GUGUCAGCAGCCGCGGUAAGACGAACCGUGCGAACGUUGUUCGGAAUCACUGGGCUUAAAGGGCGCGUAGGCGGGCUCCCAAGUCUGUGGUGAAAUCCCCCGGCUCAACCGGGGAACUGCCGCGGAUACUGGGAAUCUCGAGGGGUGUAGGGGCAUGCGGAACUUCGGGUGGAGCGGUGAAAUGCGUAGAGAUCCGAAGGAACGCCGGUGGCGAAAGCGGCGUGCUGGACACCUUCUGACGCUGAGGCGCGAAAGCCAGGGGAGCAAACGGGAUUAGAUACCCCCGUAGUCC
rnacentral:rRNA from 1 species